rnacentral:lncRNA from 1 species
CUACAAGAUGGACGAAAAAUAAAGUUACUCCAUACAGGAAGAAAUGGUGAAUGGCUCUACUGAAUGAUAUGACAAGCUGCUUUAAGCAAGUUUCCGUUCAAACAAGAGAGCUCAAGUUACUAAACCACAAAAGCUAAUUUGCAAGUGAAAAACACCAUGCUAUAAUAUCCAAAUAUAACUAGCCAAUAAUCCUAUUACCAGCAGAUGGACGAAAAAUAAAGUUACUCCAUACAGGAAGAAAUGGUGAAUGGCUAUAGUGAAUGAUACGGCAAGCUGCUUGAAGCAAGUUGGACAGAUGACAAGAUGGCAACGAAAAGAAGAUUUAAGAUGUUAUGCUUUAGGCAAUACUAUUGGAUAAACAUGUUCUUACUGGAAAUAGAUGCAUUUAGUAAACCCUCAACACUUUGAAAUUUGAACUUGUGGUAUGUCAUUUAACUCACUUACGGUAAAUGGUCUCAAAAAAAUCAUACUUUUUACUAUUCAACUUCAAGAUCGUGUAUAAAAUGUUAGCUAAUGCUUUGUUUUUUUUAAUCUGUUUUACAAUUUUGAAGUAACGUGUUUCCUGAUUUAUCAUAUUGAUUUUUCAGCAGAUAACUUUUUCAUUUUGAAGAGAACUUUCCAACAACUACUUUUAAGUAACCCUUGAACUAUUUAAAUGUCACGAUCGCCAUAGAUAUGUCUUAAACAACUAAGUAAAAUUUAACGUUACUGUUUUUUUUUUCUUUUGGGGACAAGAUUUUGCUUUGAUUAUUAUUUCACACUCUUCGUACUUUUAACAAUAAGAAGUUGUAAUUACUUUUUAUUAAGUUUAUACAUAAAGAAAUUUUAUUUCAGAAAUAUCCAACGUCCAAGUUCACACCGCCAUUUAGUGCCUUGAUUCUCGUACAUGAACUCUGCCACUCCUGAGACAAAGUAUGUUUUUUCUUACAAUUGAACCAAUAGACGUGGCAGUUGCUUACCCUUCCAUUAAUUUGAGUUCAGAGUUCUGUUUAAUUUUUGCUAUAAGUAUUAAUUAAUCCGAGUUUACAAGAUCAUCCGAGUUCUUCUGGGCAUUCUAAUGGAACUUCUUCUAAACUCUUUUUGUGCAAAGUGCAAGGACCACCUUGGGCCUACAUUUGCUGCACGACUUAAACCUGAUCCAAAAGAAAUAGAAAAUACAUAUGCUCACAGUUUACUAGAACUUCUUGGACUGGGAUAAGGUCAAAUGGAGCUUCUUCUAAACUCUUUUUGUGCAAGUGCAAGGAGCACCUUGGGCGUACAUUUGCUGCACGACUUGAACCCUGAUCAAAAGAAAUACAAGGCACAUAUGCUCACAGUUUACUAGAACUUAUUGGACUGGGAAAAGGAACCUAAGUUGCGGAGUUUCAAUGC